rnacentral:sRNA from 1 species
ACCUGCUCGCAGCACCCUGUUCUCUUCCCGGUUCGGCCCGCUGCCCGCGGCGCCAGCACUAUGCAUCUGUGGAACCCUCCAUUCUGUGGAUCAGUAUCUCAACAUCAAACUAACUGACAUCAGUGUCACAGACCCUGAGAAAUAUCCUCACAUGUUAUCAGUGAAGAACUGCUUCAUUCGGGGCUCAGUGGUCCGAUACGUGCAGCUGCCCGCAGAUGAGGUCGACACACAGUUGCUACAGGAUGCAGCAAGGAAGGAAGCCCUGCAGCAGAAACAGUGAUGGCUCCUCCUCUUCCCCUCCCUCUUUCAUUGGUGACCCAUAACCCCAAGUCCCAGCCCAGAACCCCUAACCCCCAAUACUUGAAGGGGUUUUGUUUUUUUACUAAUGAUGGUUUUGUGGGUUGUUUUUUUUUAAGGGAUGAGUGGAUGAGAGGAAUAAUAGGGAACAGCUAUCCUCUCUUGAGAAGGGGAGGAUAAGUAGGCUGGGAAACUUCAAAGCCUUCCCAGUCCCCAGCACCUGCCUUUCUCACUACUUCCCUGGAGAUGGUAGGAGAGUUUCCUAGGUCUUUCCAGGGCAGCAUGUGAUUCAUUUGGGGAUGGAAGGAAUCUGUCCCGCAUCGGGAAUAAAAUUUAUGAUGCAAA